CGGAAAACUAAAACGCUGCACAAGACACCAAGCGAUUACAGUGAGGAGGACCAUUCACAACGUGAGAGAUCACCCUCACCAAAGCAUUGCUAAGGCUGACCCUUUUCCUAUGCCGGAUGCAAGACAGUCGCCCAAGUCCGGUUGAAGAAUUCUACUUCAAGGUGAAUAAGAUUGAAGAUGGAAGAGCAGCUAAUGGAGAAUAAUUUUAGAAAAUACAUGAUAUCUCAAAGCUGUGUGGGAAGACAUACUAGACCGGUUGAAAAGAGCAAUGCACCGAAACCUGACAAACAGCCUCAUGUCAACAAUGAAUAUGAAAGGAAAUAAAGGGAACAGGGCCUUUGAGGACUCCAACCUUUGCAGCGUCAUCAUAGCAGGUGUGAGUCUUGGCAAAUCAAAGGCUACAGAGGCGGAAAUGCUACAGGUGAUGUCAACCUGCCUGAAAUAUGCACCUUACCGCAAAGGGGGCCAGUGGGAGGGCCAAUGAGGAAGAGGAUGAAAGAGUUCUUAAGAAGUUAAAAUCAUCAAAGCCUUUUCCGACAGUGCCUUUUUUAAAUUAUUGUAUAUAUCAUUUGCUUCCAGAAGCUUGUGCCAGAAAUGCCUUUUACAUUUUUUUUAAUAAAGAAAAAUGUGGCUUGUA